UCUUCUUCUUCUUCUUCUUCCCUUCUCUCUCUCUCGCUCGCUCGCUUUCCUAUCAAUCUAUCUAUCCUCGACCCUAAUAUCCUCUUUCAACAACCGUUUCCUGUUCAUGCAGCAUCAAUCGGAUCGAUCGAUCAACCAACCAACCCGAAUUCAACAAAAUCCCCUAAAGAAAAGAGCUUGUCCUGAUUCAAACGCUUUCUCUGAACCUAAAAUUUUAAGAAAUUUGAGAAAAACUGAGGAUUAGAAAUGAGAAAAUUAGGGUUUUUCUGUACCUAACUCAUUUAUUAAUUG
rnacentral:misc_RNA from 1 species